rnacentral:rRNA from 1 species
UAGGGAAUCUUCCACAAUGGACGCAAGUCUGAUGGAGCAACGCCGCGUGAGUGAAGAAGGUUUUCGGAUCGUAAAGCUCUGUUGUUGGUGAAGAAGGAUAGAGGCAGUAACUGGUCUUUAUUUGACGGUAAUCAACCAGAAAGUCACGGCUAACUACGUGCCAGCAGCCGCGGUAAUACGUAGGUGGCAAGCGUUGUCCGGAUUUAUUGGGCGUAAAGCGAGCGCAGGCGGAAUGAUAAGUCUGAUGUGAAAGCCCACGGCUCAACCGUGGAACUGCAUCGGAAAAUGUCAUUCUUGAGUAGAGAAGAGGAGAGUAGAAUUCCAUGUGUAGCGGUGGAAUGCGUAGAUAUAUGGAAGAACACCAGUGGCGAAGGCGGCUCUCUGGUCUGCAACUGACGCUGAGGCUCGAAAGCAUGGGUAGCGAACAGG